GACGCCCGAGAACAGCCGUCAGCCACGGCGGGGGCGGCUUCCCAGCCUGUGUCUUCCAGGCCCGAGGGCUCUGCCCGCCGCUGUCUCCGCGGGACCAGGGGCCUGGGCAGUUCCUGCCCGGGUAGGGCCUGUGUUUCCUCCUCGCGCGGCUGCGGUGAGGGGACUACGAGGCCUCGUUUUCGUCUGUGAAGUCCGGCUAAUAAGACAACACAGAGAGAUGCUAAGGACUGCCUGUGGAAGCCCACCACCGUGCCGCACGUGGAGGUGCUCAGUGUUAGCCGUGGGUCCUCAAGACGCCUCAGAAGCAGAGCUGCCACACGUUCUUGGAGGUUUCCUGUUAAUUCUGUUCAAUAAAGGCAUGUCAUUAGCUGUUAA